rfam:Camelus ferus unplaced genomic scaffold scaffold715, whole genome shotgun sequence.
GAGGGUAUAGCUCAGUCGUAGAGUGCGUGCCUAACAUGCACGAGGUCCUGGGUUCGAUCCCCAGUACCGCCA